CGGGGCUAUCAACCACUCAGCCAUCUCUCC
rnacentral:tRNA from 1 species